AUGGCCUUAAGUUAAUAAAACUGAAAGUUUUCAAAACUUUCAAUGUCUUGCACAGGCCAUG
rnacentral:tRNA from 1 species